rnacentral:rRNA from 1 species
GAUGAACGCUAGCGACAGGCCUAACACAUGCAAGUCGAGGGGCAUCGGGGUGUAGCAAUACGCUGCCGGCGACCGGCGGAUGGGUGAGUAACGCGUAUGCAACCUGCCUUCAGCAGGGGGAUAGCCCGUUGAAAGACGGAUUAAUACCCCAUAACACAGGGGCUCCGCAUGGAGAUUAUUGUUAAAGGGAUACUUCCUUCGGGGGGUAUUCCGGCUGAAGAUGGGCAUGCGUUCCAUUAGGUAGUUGGUUGAGGUAACGGCUCACCAAGCCUGCGAUGGAUAGGGGAACUGAGAGGUUGGUCCCCCACACUGGUACUGAGACACGGACCAGACUCCUACGGGAGGCAGCAGUGAGGAAUCUUAGUCAAUGGACGGAAGUCUGAACCAGCCAUGUCGCGUGAAGGAGGACGGCCCUAAGGGUUGUAAACUUCUUUUGCAGGGGAAUAAAGUAUUCCACGAGAUGGGAUAUUGCAAGUACGCUGCGAAUAAGGAUCGGCUAACUCCGUGCC